GGCGAGAUGGCCGAGCGGUCUAAGGCGCUAGUUUCAGGCUCUCAUAAAGCAAGUUACUAGUCAGAAAUGGCGUGGGUUCGAAUCCCACUCUCGUCA
rfam:Phlebiopsis gigantea 11061_1 CR5-6 unplaced genomic scaffold PHLGIscaffold_32, whole genome shotgun sequence.